rnacentral:lncRNA from 1 species
GAAUGGAUUCCAGAAGAGAGGCUCGAGUUUCCAGAGCUUGGAUGCAGGUGGGGUCCAAGGCGAGGGUUCUGUUGCAAUCGGCAAUAGAAUCGGCGAUUCGGCCGGCGGACCGGUGAGCGGAGGCCCUGUGCAUGUAGCACUCGGCGAGGAAGGCCUGCGGGGCACCGCGUCGCCCGUCCACGAUUUUGGAGAAGUGGCGUAUGGCUUCGGAGUGGAGGCCGGCUUCCAGGGCAGCGAGCGCGGCGGCACGGCGCCGGAGGAGGAGCUUUAUGUGGGCGAGGAGUUGGGUCACUGCUUCAGACUCCGGAAGUGGGACCCGGGGUGGGCUUGAGUCGCCGGAGAAGAGGGGGUUCGAGAGGGAGAAGCUAUCGUCGGACCAGCACACGCUCUCGCGGCGGAACGCGGCGGAGGCGAGGCGUUUCCCCGUUUGGAGAAGAACCAUCGCGUCUUCCAUUAG